rnacentral:rRNA from 1 species
GAUGAACGCUGGCGGCGUGCCUAAUACAUGCAAGUCGAGCGAACAGAUAAGGAGCUUGCUCCUUUGACGUUAGCGGCGGACGGGUGAGUAACACGUGGGUAACCUACCUAUAAGACUGGGAUAACUUCGGGAAACCGGAGCUAAUACCGGAUAACAUUUGGAACCGCAUGGUUCUAAAGUGAAAGAUGGUUUUGCUAUCACUUAUAGAUGGACCCGCGCCGUAUUAGCUAGUUGGUAAGGUAACGGCUUACCAAGGCAACGAUACGUAGCCGACCUGAGAGGGUGAUCGGCCACACUGGAACUGAGACGCGGUCCAGACUCCUACGGGAGGCAGCAGUAGGGAAUCUUCCGCAAUGGGCGAAAGCCUGACGGAGCAACGCCGCGUGAGUGAUGAAGGGGUUCGGCUCGUAAAACUCUGUUAUUAGGGAAGAACAAACGUGUAAGUAACUGUGCACGUCUUGACGGUACCUAAUCAGAAAGCCACGGCUAACUACGUG